rnacentral:lncRNA from 1 species
CGGGGCCUUUGCAGCCUCCAUACUUAGCGAUGGCCUCCUGGACCCACUUUCUCUCUCAAACUGUCUUUUCUCAUUCCUUUGACUCUGCUGGACUUCGUCAUCCCCACGACCCGGUGUUGAGUCUGAUCACCCAACAUCAUCAGGAUAGAAGCUUCCCUCUCCUCCUCCAGACCUUGUGGUGUGCACGUGGGAGUCCAGGGACUAGAAUACUCAUUUUCAAAGCCUGACAUUGGACCCGGGAGACAGGGAAAAACCAUCCUCAGGAAGUCACAAGGAAGAAAGGCAAAGAACGGGUGUUGAUACAGGUGUCAUUUUCAACAUGUGCCACCUAACUCCUGAGCUCAAGCUAAACUCUGUAUAAUCACCCUUGUCAUUGGGAAAAUCUGAAUCCAAUUAUUCCAGUUCAUUUUAAGUCAAAGUUCUCUGUUGAGAGAGUUUCCUGAAAACAAACAUUGGAUUAACAAAAGAGACAAAUGGAAGUUUAUUAAUGCAUGCUGUACCCAUCAUGCAGGAGAGGCCUCAGUUCAAAAGCAUUUCUCUCCCAAGGCAGUGACUUAGGGGACUUGCUUAAAUAGUAUUUCAACAAAGAACCAUCAAUCCGAUAUAGUAGAAAGACAAAGGAGAGAGCAGUUUCAGUCUUUCAAAAGUGACAUGUGAAGAAAGCUGAUCCCAUCCAGAGAACUCAACCACCAUGGAGAAGACAGCUGAGUACUCCACCAUUACACAGAGCAACUCCCUGCCACUCUUAGGGUUGAGAGAAAGAGAGAGCACAGAGGUAUACAGCAUGUGAAACUUUGGACUGCUCAAAGAAGACAUUUUCAAACAUAUCUUUUCAGGACUGUCAAUAGGAACCGUAAG